rnacentral:rRNA from 1 species
GAUGAACGCUGGCGGCGUGCUUAACACAUGCAAGUCGAACGAUGAAGCCCAGCUUGCUGGGUGGAUUAGUGGCGAACGGGUGAGUAACACGUGAGUAACCUGUCCUUGACUCUGGGAUAAGCCUGGGAAACUGGGUCUAAUACUGGAUAUGACUUCUCAUCGCAUGGUGGGGGGUGGAAAGAUUUAUUGGUCUUGGAUGGACUCGCGGCCUAUCAGCUUGUUGGUGAGGUAAUGGCUCACCAAGGCGUCGACGGGUAGCCGGCCUGAGAGGGUGACCGGCCACACUGGGACUGAGACACGGCCCAGACUCCUACGGGAGGCAGCAGUGGGGAAUAUUGCACAAUGGGCGCAAGCCUGAUGCAGCGACGCCGCGUGAGGGAUGACGGCCUUCGGGUUGUAAACCUCUUUCAGUAGGGAAGAAGCGAGAGUGACGGUACCUGCAGAAGAAGCGCCGGCUAACUACGUG